AUUCUGGAGACCUGCAACCCCGCUCCAUUCUUUGGCUGUAACGCCAACGAGGCCAAUGAUGCGGCGCCCAUCGAGCAAAUAGCUAAUGUUCUCAGGAACAGAUAAACUUUAUAGAAUUUCACUGUCCAUUAAUGAGUUCGUUUAAACGUUUGCAUUGGGGGUGCCAGAAAGAUAAAUCAAACGACGUCGCUUGUUAAAACCACGUUUUAUUCUGUCGAGAAAACGGACAAUUAUGCCUCAGAAAUGAAUAUAUUAUUACUUCUUUAAAAAGGAGAAACAUGAUCGAGAUCAAGUUUUAAAGCUGCACACCUCCAAAUGAGCAAAACUAUUUCGAUAAUAUCGAACCUGAGAAAAGUGUACAUGUAGUAAGAUUUUAGGAAAGGUAUACAGUAAAGAUUCAGAAUUCUAGUAAAACUUUACAUGUAAUGUGCUAUUUAUGACCGAAUUUUUCAGUAUGUAAAACUAAAGUUUAAUGUUAUUGCGUUACGAACGCAGUAAGGGCUAUUUUUGCAGAUUUUGUCCUCUUUAUAGUAAUUUACAUAGGUUGUAAGUGGCAUUGAUAAUGUCUAAAUUGCAUUAUUUUGGUAACUUUACAAUAUGAAAGCGUUAAAGACAUUUUCAAAUUUUCAUGAAAAUUAGCAUGAAUCUGGAGGUGUGCUGCUUUAAAACAUUUAAAUAAUAGUUUCAGAGCUUGUUAAAUGCUUCUAACGAAGAAAGUAGCGCUUAAUGUGAAAUUAUUUGUCAUAAAAGUAGCAAAAUGUAAACAAAGUAGUAUUUUGACUUCCAUACAAAAUACUAAAUCCCUUUAACUGUAGUAAUCGCAAAAAAAUGCACAAGAAGAGAAAUAUGUACCUAUAUAACAGUAAAAACGUUUUUCUUGUGUUUGUUGUCGUUGUUUUCUUUUUCAGUGACGCUCCUAAAGUAUAACCUCAAAAGGCCCAGUAUGCCCCAGAAUUUUUUUAUGUGAUCAUUAUUAAAUUUGAUUGAACUAUUUGAAAAAGAAAAUUGAUAUAACUUUUAUUUAACUGUAUUUAUUUAUACAAAUUUGAAUGCGAUUUAUUGUGUAAUAAAAAUGAAACUUACAUUAGUUGGCAUUACUUAAAAAUAUCUUAAACUCUCGUCAAAGGUUUGUAACUUUUUCUUUUAAUCGUUUUACAUCAUAUUUUUACAUCAAUGACAACUCAUGUGAGAUCCUAUACAUGUUAUGUAUAUGUCAUAGUAUCUGUAAUAAUAAAAUAAUUUUCUAUGCGUUUUAUUGUAAUGGCAUUAUGUAUGUCGACUCUCUUAUAAAUUAAAAAAAGGGAAAAAAACAAACAAAUAACAAAAAUUUACUGUAUAUAUAUAAAUGAGUAUGCUAGAUAUCACACUGAGAAAUGAAAAUUUGCAAUAUUUUCACAAAUGCGAAGGACACUUUUCAGUGUGAUAUUUAGCAUAUUAGCCCAAAAAGAAAUCAGUUUGCCGUAUAAGUAAAUGACCAUGAACGACCGUUUUCAUCAAAGCUCGAGAAACAGAGAUGAUACCACAAGUUCGACUGCUACGAGAACAUUGAGCAGACAAAAGUAAUUUAAGAUAAUACUCAUCGCUACGUAGUAACUGAUAACAUUUUUAGAUUUUAGUUAGUAACGAUAUUUCAAUUGAGAAAAAACAAUCUAAAAAUGAAGAAAACACAUUAUUUUCUGUAAAUCGGUGCGAGACUUCACUGUUGCAGUCUCCGUUUAUUAUAGAAUCUGUGCUGUUAGAUAUACCGACAGAGCUUUAUCCAAAUGUUAACAAGUGUCUGCAUUUCCUUCCAGCAAUGCCAGUGCUGAUCGUUCAUUCAUCAGCUGGAAAAGGCUAAAGACUUUCUAGCGCUCAACGAUGACCACUGGUCAUCUCUCUGGCUUAGGACUUUUGCAGAUCCAUAGAGACAGGGUGAUCUAGGUUGACGUUGUUUUGUGUUUGUCACUUUUAUUUGCUGACUAGUAAAAGCGUACACGUCAUUUGUUUGCGUCUGUUUAUUCAAUGCAUAUCCUUAUAUAACGUUUAUCAAAUAACUUGAAAUAUUAUUAUACGAUCUAGCAAUUAUAUCUAAGACGUUUUCUAAAUCACGUCACAUAUUAACACAACUCAUAUCAUUACAUAAAAUGUUCUUAUAAUGAUAAUAUUAAAUUCCUUCUGACUUCAAUUUGUAAUUUUAUGGACCUCAAUGGGCAUGAAAAUGCAUAAUUUUAACAUCUCUAAAUGGUGAAAAUCAAUGAGCUUCCGGGGACCCCUACCAGGGCUCUGCCCUGGACCUGCAAGGGGGCCUACAGCGGCCCCCUUAACCCCCUGCCUGAGCGUCCGUAAUAUCGAUUUCGGCCUAGCUACGCCACUGAAAGGUUUAGCCAAUGAGCUUUCCACUGAUAUAUUAAUUUGAAAAAUCAGACGAAAAUUCUCAGGAAAAGCGCAGCGGCCAGUAAAAAAAUGUUAUCUUAUUGUAGAUUUCUGACAGAAAUGUAAUGUUUGUUAAUAUAAUUAUAAGGUGUUAAAGUUGGCGAGCAAAGCCAGUCAAACAAAUAAACUUUCUCUUUUUUUUACUCUUUCUUUAAUAACGAGUAAUCAGCGGUCAGGUCUGGGAGGUGCACUCAGAAGCUAGGGUGCCUAGCGGUGUCUUUUAUUUCAGUCAAAAGCCAGGCUUGCCUGGCGGUGUCGGUAGUUGGAUGAUUUAACCCGGGUGCUAGAAACGUUUUGCCGGGGUUUCGAUCAAGGAGCUAUUUAGAUGGAUGGAGACCAGGAUGAAGAAGAUGAAGAUGAUUGCGGGAUAAAGACCGCCCCAAUAGUACCAUGCUGGUGGCGAAUGUGACGUUGUAUACUGACCCCAUAGAAUAAUGACCUCCCCUAACCUACCGCAACAGAAAAACAUUUACGACUGUGGUAUAUUUGUGUGUAUGUAUGCCAAGCAUGUCGCCUUGCAUCGGAAGAUAAACUUCACUGCAGACGAUAUGCCAGAUCUCCGAAAGCAAGUGGCGCUCGAAGUAAUGGGAGAAAACCUUUUAUAAUCACAAUCUAUGAAAAGGGAACGAACGCGACACAAUAUGAAAAUAUUGCAGGUUCGGUUUUAUGAGCCUGUUCAUGUGCAGUAAUGGAAAUGCAUAUUACUGCCCACGCCGUUUAGCUUUGGGUUGAGCGCAACUCAAUAUUUACCAAUAAAUAGUAAGAACUACUGUGAUACUAAUUGUGUCAGUUAGAAGAGUUUCACAUUACUUGUAAUUAGAUUAAGUUACAUUAAGCUGAACCGAAUAAAACAUAUUAAACAUUACUGAAUAAAACAUUUGAAUCUAAGCUGUAGGUGACGUCGAUUUGAACUUUGUAUUUUUGUUUCAAGAGCAUGUAUAUUAUGUCCUCUGAAUUGCUUUGUUGAUAUGGGCAAUUUAUUACAGGAACAUAUCGGAAUAAUGUUUUAACCUUAUUUGACAUUGAUUUUUGUAAGUCUAGUUUGCAUAUGGAUUUUUUAUGACUCCACGAAGUGGGAGGCAUAUAGAGUUGCACUCGUCCAUAUGUACGUCCGUCCUUCCGUCCGUCAUUUUUGUCCGGAGCAUAUCUCAAAAAGUAUUUAAGGUAUCAACUUGAAACUUCAUAGGUGGAUAGAUCAAAAUGAGGAGGAGUGCAGUGCACAAGAAUGAUAACUCCACCCUGCAUAAUUUUUGAGUUAUUGCCCUUUGUUAUUUUUCAAACUUAAUUUUUGUCCAGAGCAUAACUCAAAAAGCCUUUGAGAUAUUAACAUGAAACUUCAUGGGUGGAUAGAUCUCACUCAGGAGGUGUGCAGUGCCCAAGAAUGAUAACUCUACCCUUCAUAAUUUUUGAGUCAUUGCCCUUUGUCAUUUUUCAGACUUUAUUUUUCACCUGAGUGGAGCAUUACUCAAAGUCUUUGAGAUGUCAACAUGAAACUUCAUAGGUGGAUAGAUCUUAUUGAGGACGAAUGCUGUGCACAAGAAUGAUAACUCUACCCUUUAUAAUUUUUGAGUUAUUGCCCUUUGUUAUUUUUCAUAUAGUGGUAUAAACUUGAAACUUCAUAGGUGGAUAGAUCUCAUAGAGGAUGAGUGCAGCACACAAGAAUGAUAACUCUACCUGCAUAAUUUUGGAGUUAUUGCCCUUUGUUAUUUUCAGCCAUCAGUAUUCACAUAGGUUUCAAAUCUGUAAUCACUUCACCCAUCAGUUUUCAUUACCAAAAGACCUCUUUAAAUUGAAUUAUUUUGCUCUACUACAUAUACAUUCUUACAAUGAGCAAACACAUUUGGCGGGGGAUGGCCAUGCUAACAUGGCUCUUGUUAAGAAAAUAUUUUUCCUGCGACCAUUUUCAUCACAGUUAUGGCCCUUUGAUAAGUUCAGUAAUAAAAUCUUGUGGCAUCAGCUCUUCAUUAACUCCCUGACCGAUUUCUUUUAAACUUAUACAGAGGAUCAAGCAGGAUUUAUAGAUGAUUGUAAAGAAAAUUUUUUUUUUCCUGCUGCCAUUUUUACCAGACUUAUGGCCUUUUGUUAUUGCCACUCAUAACAUUUUUAUGCCAUAACAUUUUGUGGCAUCAACUUCACAUUUUCUACUUGGCUGAUUUCUAAUAAACUUGCACAGAUGACUAGACAUUAUGUGUACAUUGUUGUAAAGGAUUUUUUCUUGCAAGCAUUUUCUCCAGAGUCAAUACCUUUUCUUUAUGUUAUUGUAUAGCACUUACUCCUCAUGUACUAGUCAUGAUCACCACUUGUUCUUAAUAUCUGAUGCAAAGGUUUGUUACAGCAGUGGGAGCAUCAGUGUCCUGAGGACACAGUCUAGUUUUAAAUAAUUUUUUGGGAACCAUCUUUCGUUCUUUCGUUUAAACUUUAUUGAAUAUAAAUUAGAAUUUGAAUAGUUUUCUUGAAACGACAUCAGCAAUUGUAUCUUUUUACGUUGCACUGUGUAAAUUCGAGUUUUAUUAUUGAACUACAAAUUUCGUUAGCACUUAAUCCGGAUAUUGUCAUUUUGUUUCAAUUGUUUGUUUGUUUCCAAACUGUAAUGAUAAUGUGAUUUUGAAACAGAAGCUAUAUGACACUAUUAACAUCAUUUUCAAUAACUUCUCUGCAUAAUUUUAUUGGACAAUUUAACAGUAUAACAUAAUGUUUUACUUUUAAAAACUUAUUUUUUAACCUUAUAUUUUCGGUAUUAUCUGUAGAUCUAAUUGAUAAAUAUCAUCGUUUACCUAUAUGUUUAAAAUAUUUUGAUUUUAUAGCACAUAUGCAUGUUUUAUAGCUUUUAACCUUUAUGGGCAAGUAAUUUCUUAUUUUAACUAAUGUCUAUUCGAGUGUCUUCAAGAAAUGAAUGACAGUUGUCUAAUGCUAGUUAUAUCAGAAUUAGGGAUAUCUUUGUUUCUAAUAAAUACAUUUAGUUUAUGUGUCUCUCUCAUAUGUUGUAAUCAUGCAUACAAUAGUUUCAUUCAAGGUAUAUUAAUCUAUAUGCAUGGCAAAUUUGAUCAAGUUAUCUUGAUUUGACUGUAUUAUUGCUUUCUUGUUUAAAUUAUGUUGUUGUUUUUUUCUCGAAAAUCUAAAAUCAUUUUAAGGCCCACACCUAAGAACAACAAAGAAUUACCAUAGCAUGAAACGCUAAGUUACUUUCAGUAUAUAAAUGGACAAUUUGCAAUAUGUUUGACAAAAUUUAUUCAACAAUUGUCAUUCAUUUUUAGCUCGACUAUUCGAUAAGAAUAAGUAGAGCUAUUGUAGUACCCCGAGCGUCGGCGUCGGCGUAACCACUUAUGUUAAAGUUUUUGUAAUAGUUUAAAUAUUUUCAAAGUCCAUUGACAUAUAGCUUUGAAACUUUGCACACUUGUUCACCAUCAUUACCCCAACCUGUAAACAGGAGGAGGUAAUUGUAUCAAGCAUUUUGACAGAAUUAUGCCCCUUUUUGACUUAGAAUUUACGUUAAAGUUUUUGUAAUUGUUCAAAUAUUUUUAAAGUCCAUUGACAUAUGGCUUUGAAACUUUGCACACUUGUUCACCAUCAUUACCCCAACCUGUAAACAGGAGGAGGUAACUGUAUCAAGCAUUUUGACAGAAUUAUGCCCCUUUUUGGACUUAGAAUUUACGUUAAAGUUUUUGUAAUAGUUCAAAUAUUUUCAAAGUCAAUUGACCUAUGGCUUUGAAACUUUGCACACUUGUUCACCAUCAUUACCCCAACCCGUAAACAGGAGGAGGUAACUGUAUCAAUCAUUUUUACAGAAUUAUGCCCCUUUUUUCGACUUAGAAUUUAUGUUAAAGUUUUUGUAAUACCUCAAAUAUUUUCAAAGUCCAUUGACAUAUGGCUUUGAAACUUUGCACACUUGUUCACCAUCAUUACCCCAACCUGUAAACAGAAGGAGGUAACUGUAUCAAGCAUUUUGACAGAAUUAUUCCCCUUUUUGGACUUAGAAUUUAUGUUAAAGUUUUUGUAAUACCUCAAAUAUUUUCAAAGUCCAUUGACAUAUGGCUUUGAAACUUUGCACACUUGUUCAACAUCGUUACCCCAACCUGUAAACAGGAGGAGGUAACUGUAUCAAGCAUUUUUUUUUACAAUCAAGCACUAAGAAUAGUCGAGCGUUGCUGUCCUACCGACAGCUCUUGUUAUAUUUUUGAAAAUUAUCUAACGUUUUAUCAUGUAUUGAUUUUCAUGUUUGUUCAUUCGUUUGAACUAAUGUAUUAUGCACAUCCACGAUACAUAAACUUUGUUGGCUUGUGUAUGUAUUCAGAAAUAUUUUUAUGUUGCAUGUUGUCAGUAAGAAUGCAUAAGCUCGUGAAAAAUUUCGAAAUUUUCGAAAGGUUUAUUCAUUGAUUCUCCACUAAACGUGCAAAUUAGAAAAUAUUCUGUCCCUCGAGUAUAUUUUGUUGCACUGCAGUUGAAAAAUACUUUUUGGACAUUCUUUUGCUUCAUUACAUGGUCAUGUAUGUAAAGCAUUCAAAUUAAUGACUUAGUCUGUUGGAUUUAUACGAAAAUAUUAUCAUGCAGAGCUGCUGUAUAACCCAUUAUGUAAUGUCCCCAGGCUUGGUGCCUAUAUUACUGUUGGUUUUACACAAUUUCACCUGAAACCUGUGUUGAAAAAAACCCUCUUAAGUAUUAAGUUUUAGUUUAAAUGUCUAAGUGAGCAAUUUUUAUUGUUUUCUACAGUGAAUUUGGAAAAAAGUUCCUAACUGAAAUGCAUGUCCCUCAUAUAUUGAACAGAUACGUUACCACACUUCAGGUAAACCUGAGUAAGAGUAAUAUGAACUUGUAACCUAUUAAUAGUUUGCUAUUGAACUAAAGUUUUAUCAUAUUUCAUUAUUCAAAAAUUAUUUUGACUACAAUAUACAUGCUUGAACCACAAUGACCUCGCAAUGCUGAUACAAUUAAGAUUAUACUUUAAAGUGAAACAGAUACGUUACCAUGAUAUCCAACUGAGAAACACUUGCUAUUAUCAGCACUUGAAAGUAGGAUGGCAUUUAUGCAUUAUACCAAUAUAUGCUUUACAAAACUUAAUAUUUUGAUAUAUUUGGCAAACAUAUGUGUCUAUCUGAUAUAUUUUAGUUUUUUGACCAACAGAUACGUUACCAACAGAUACGUUACCAUUAUUUAUUAUUUAAAUCUUAAUUGACGAUUUUGCUCAGAUUUGAAAUGGUUUCAUGUAAAAGAAUCAUAGCAGAACAUGCGUGUAGCCGAUAAAUGAUGCUUUGACCUCGAUUUUAUUGGAAAACUGAAAAUGUGAAUCAGCAAUUUGAAAUUCAAGGAUUAUUUGAGUUUUCUAGAAAAUAAAAUGUUGAAAAACAGGAAAGAAACAUAUAAAGAUUAACUGUUUUAUUUCCUGGAAUAAAUAUAUGUUGAUAUCUUUUUGGUUUGCAAACUUUGUAUUAAAAAUAAAAUGUAGAUGACUGUAUAACUUAUGGUAACGUAUCUGUUUAUCAUAGUAACGUAUCUGUUUACAAAGAGAUUUGAGUACUGUUUAAUAUAUAUAACUAAAUUCUCAACAAAACUUUGGUUUAAAUAAGUAAUAUAUGGUUAGGCAAUAUAUAACAGCAGUGUAACUUAAUGAAAAAAAAACAUAUUAAAGUAUUUUAAAUGGAUGCCAGUUAGUUAGUUAAUUUUAGUCAGGGUCGUAUUAAAAUUUUCUGUCUAUGGUAGGGAUGGACUUAUUGGAUAUAGCUCAAAAUCUUGGAGGUGCACAUAUAUAUGGAUUGAAUAUUACUAAGUUGGUUUUCUUUAAGCGGUACCAUUGUUUCUGAUAUAACUUUGUUAAAUGUAGAUAAGCAUAUUACUCAUAUCACCAAGUGUGACAAAAUAAAGGAUCGAGAUUGUACCAGUAUAUAAAGAAAAAGUAUAUAGAAAAAAAUAAAGAUAAUUGAACCACAGAUGAACCAAAAAGGCAAACCAAAUACAGAAUGUCAAUUCAUACUAUGAACCACUCACAUUAAUCUAGCUGUUACAUAUUCUAAUAGAUGAGUGUCUUUAUUUAAAUGUUCUUGUUAAGUUCAAUAUGUUUCUUAUGUUAUUUGACUAUUUGAAGCCAAACAUAAAACAAUGAAACCUAAAAAAACUGUAAAUGAUAUUGUGUGUUCUGUUUAAUAUUAAAAGUACUUGUUCAGACAUAUUAUUUAUUGGUCAGUUGUUUAAAAAAACUUUAUGAAUAUCUAUCUACGUGUUCUGAGGGUUUUUUCGUAAUUUUGUUCAUAGUAGAACGGUGAAACAGAUACGUUACUAUGAUUUAAUAUUCGUUUCCACUUAGUGGAAUGAAUUUAUAUUGUAAAGUAAGUCCGAGCUACAUUGUGUCAAUAGAGAAGUAUGGAUCAUCAGUAUUUUUAUUGGCCUAAAAUGGUUUUAUAAGUACAUCAUGUAUUUGAAUAACCAUUUCUGAUUAAUAAGUAACAUUUUCAUCAGCUUCAGUUCACAAGCUAUUCAUAGACGUAGAUUUUUUUAAAAUGCAUAUUGAUGCAUAAUAUUUUGUAAUAUAUACUGGUGCUAUAUUGUUGAAAGAAUGAUUAUAAAUUUCUAAAUCGUGUAUAUUCAUGCUAAUUAUUUUUAUCUAGUCUCUGAAAGCAAUCGGAAAAAUGGUAACGUAUCUGUUUUUUGCACACACCUCAGUUCUUGGUAACUUAAUUUCAGGAAAUAUUACAAGUUUUUUGAUGAAGUGUUAAAAGAACCAGUAUGUGUUCAAUGUUAUACAUGAGUUAAACCAACAAAAAAAGAUGUCUUGGUAACUAUUUGCAAAUGUCAAUUAUUCACUAUCACUUACAGCCUAAUUUGAAUGUUUAGUGGAGAAUCAAUGUAUUAACCACAAAUACUGUUCCUUGACAUUUCUUAAUAUUUUUUGAAAAAUAACUUUUGCAUAAUAUUUGAGAUUGUUAUAAGUAUAGGUUAUUGUUUAUGCGCAGCAUAAGUUCUAUCAAAUUGAAAAUAUAAUACGAUAACAAACUCGCAUUUUCUUGUAUUUUCUUGUCAACGCCCGUAUUGAAAAAAUGAAAAUCAGAAUUUUGAUCACAGAGAAGCAACUGUUGCCAUCAGCGCAGAAACUUUUUUUUAAUAAA